CUAGUUGGUGGGGUAAGAGCCUACCAAGGCGACGAUCGGUAGCUGGUCUGAGAGGACGAUCAGCCACACUGGGAUUGAGAACGGCCCAGACUCCUACGGGGGGCAGCAGUGAGGAAUUUUCCGCAAUGGAGGAAACUCUGACGGAGCAACGCCGCGUGCAGGAGGACGCUUUUCGGAGUGUAAACUGCUUUUCUGUGGGAAGAGAGUGGACGGUACCACAGGAAGAAGCCCCGGCUAACUACGUGCCAGCAGCCGCGGUAAUACGUAGGGGGCGAGCGUUGUCCGGAGUUACUGGGCGUAAAGGGCAUGCAGGCGGUCGGACGCGUUUUGUGUGACAGCGGGUGGCUUAACUACCCGAGUAUGCGAAAGACGGUUUGACUUGAGGGCUCGAGAGGGACACGGAAUUCCGGGUGGAGUGGUGAAAUGCGUAGAGAUCCGGAGGAACACCGAAGGCGAAGGCAGUGUCCUGGCGAGUGACUGACGCUGAGGUGCGAAAGCUAGGGGAGCGAACGGGAUUAGAUACCCCGGUAGUCCUAGCCGUAAACGAUGACCACCAGGUGUGGGAGGUAUCGACCCCUUCCGUGCCGGAGUAAACACACUAAGUGGUCCGCCUGGGGAGUACGGUCGCAAGAUUAAAACUCAAAGGAAUUGACG
rnacentral:rRNA from 1 species